UGAUGACGGUACCAUUUGUAAGCUCCGGCUAACUCCGUGCCAGCAGCCGCGGUAAUACGGGGGGAGCAAGCGUUGUUCGGAUUUACUGGGCGUAAAGGGCGCGUAGGCGGNCAGCNCAAGUCAGUUGUGAAAUCUCCGGGCUUAACUCGGAAAGGUCAACUGAUACUGNGCGNCUAGAGUGCGGAAGGGGCAACUGGAAUUCUCGGUGUAGCGGUGAAAUGCGUAGAUAUCGAGAGGAACACCUGCGGCGAAGGCGGGUUGCUGGGCCGACACUGACGCUGAGGCGCGAAAGCCAGGGGAGCGAACGGGAUUAGAUACCCCGGUAGUCCUGGCCUUAAACGAUGGAUGCUUGGUGUCUGGGGUUUUAUAGUCCCCGGGUGCCGUA
rnacentral:rRNA from 1 species